GUCUAUGGCCUUACCACGCUGAGUGUGUCAGAUCUCAUCUGGUCUCAGGCUAGGCAGAGCGAGGUUUUGUUAGUAUUUGGAAGACAGAAUUAAAAUACCUGUAGCUG
rnacentral:rRNA from 1 species